rnacentral:rRNA from 1 species
GAUUAACGCUAGCGGCAGGCAUAAUACAUGCAAGUUGAACGGCAGCACAGGUAGCAAUACUGGGUGGCGAGUGGCGCACGGGUGCGUAACACGUAUGCAACCUACCCUAUACAGGCGAAUAACCUUUAGAAAUGAGGGCUAAUACGCCGUAGUAUUACAGAUGGGCAUCUAUUUGUAAUUAAAGAUUUAUCGGUAUAGGAUGGGCAUGCGUCCCAUUAGUUAGUUGGUAAGGUAACGGCUUACCAAGACGAUGAUGGGUGGGGGAUCUGAGAGGACUUACCCCCACACUGGUACUGAGACACGGACCCGACUCCUACGGGAGGCAGCAGUAAGGAAUAUUGGGCAAUGGCCGCGAGGCUGACCCAGCCAUGCCGCGUGCAGGAAGACGGCCUUAUGGGUUGUAAACUGCUUUUAUACGGGAAUAAUAGAGUGUACGCGUACAUUUAUGCAAGUAUCGUAUGAAUAAGCAUCGGCUAACUCCGUG